GUAGGUGGUAAGCGUUGUCCGGAAUUAUUGGGCGUAAAGCGCGCGCAGGCGGGUUCUUUAAGUCUGAUGUGAAAGCCCACGGGCUCAACCGUGGAGGGUCAUUGGAAACUGGAGAACUUGAGUACAGAAGAGGAAAGCGGAAUUCCACGUGUAGCGGUGAAAUGCGUAGAGAUGUGGAGGAACACCAGUGGCGAAGGCGGCUUUCUGGUCUGUAACUGACGCUGGGGCGCGAAAGCGUGGGGAGCAAACAGGAUUAGAUACCCUGGUAGUCCACGCCGUAAACGAUGAGUGCUAAGUGUUAGGGGGUUUCCGCCCCUUAGUGCUGCAGCUAACGCAUUAAGCACUCCGCCUGGGGAGUACGGCCGCAAGGCUG
rnacentral:rRNA from 1 species